GCUUGUUACCACAUGCCCCGAGACGCAAGCGUUUGGAGACCAGUAUGAAGACGGCAGCUUCGGCUGCCUGGAAGAGCGCGUAGAGGAGUGGGAACAUGUACAUUCCGCCCAUCAGGUCAGGCGGAAAGGCCAGUUUGAGGAUGGCAGUACAGAGCUGUACAUUCUGGCAGCCCGUUUCCAGGGAGACAGUCCGGCGGCUGUUAGGAGGCGCGGCUGUACAACCACAGGCAGAGCGGCAUGAGCACCAGCGCCAGCAGGGUGGAAGAAAUGGUCAUGAUGACGCUGGAGGACAGAAAGGGGACCCGUUAUCGUUUGUAUAGUUACUGCGAUGGCUCUAAAGAAGUGUUCCAAUUCUUAAAACACGAAAUAUUUCUUGAUUUCUCUCUGAUUUCUCUUGUUUUAAAUACGUAUUAUUGAUAUAUAUAUUAGAUAUUUAAAGAUACUACAUUGUUAAUUGAGUUAUUUGUAA